rnacentral:rRNA from 1 species
AUUGAACGCUGGCGGCAGGCUUAACACAUGCAAGUCGAGCGAGCGGCGGACGGGUGAGUAAUGUCUGGGAAACUGCCUGAUGGAGGGGGAUAACUACUGGAAACGGUAGCUAAUACCGCAUCCCAUCGGAUGUGCCCAUAUGGGAUUAGCUAGUAGGUGGGGUAAAGGCUCCCCUAGGCGACGAUCCCUAGCUGGUCUGAGAGGCUGACCAGCCACCCUGUAACUGAGACACGGUCCAGACUCCUACGUGAGGCAGCAGUGGGGAAUAUUGCACAAUGGGCGCAAGCCUGAUGCAGCCAUGCCGCGUGUAUGAAGAAGGCCUUCGGGUUGUAAAGUACUUUCAGCGAGGAGGCGUUACUCGCAGAAGAAGCACCGGCUAACUCCGUGCCAGCAGCCGCGGUAAUUC